rnacentral:rRNA from 1 species
CAAUAGCGUAUAUUAAAGUUGUUGCGGUAAAAAAGCUCGCAGUUGGAUUUCUACCGAAGAUAGCCGGUCGGGUCUUCGACCUUGUAUCUGGUUUUGUCUUUGGUAUCCUCAUAGGGAACGUUUCUGCGCUUUAUUGCGUGGUGCGGUAUCUAUGACUUUUACUUUGAGGAAAUUAGAGUGUUCACGGCAGGCAAACGCCUGAAUAUAUUAGCAUGGAAUAAUAACAUAGGAUCUUCGUCCUAUUUUGUUGGUUUCUAGGGCUAAGAUAAUGAUUAAUAGGGAUAAUUGGGGGCAUCUGUAUCAACGCGUCAGAGGUGGAAUUCUUGGAUUGCGUUGCGACAAACUACUGCGAAAGCAUUUGCCAAGGAUGUUUUCAUUGA